rnacentral:rRNA from 1 species
GUGAACGCUGGCGGUAGGCCUAACCCAUGCAAGUCGAACGGCAGCACAGUAAGAGCUUGCUCUUACGGGUGGCGAGUGGCGGACGGGAGAGGAAUACAUCGGAAUCUACUUUUUCGUGGGGGAUAACGUAGGGAAACUUACGCUAAUACCGCAUACGACCUACGGGUGAAAGCAGGGGAUCUUCGGACCUUGCGCGAUUGAAUGAGCCGAUGUCGGAUUAGCUAGUUGGCGGGGUAAAGGCCCACCAAGGCGACGAUCCGUAGCUGGUCUGAGAGGAUGAUCAGCCACACUGGAACUGAGACACGGUCCAGACUCCUACGGGAGGCAGCAGUGGGGAAUAUUGGACAAUGGGCGCAAGCCUGAUCCAGCCAUACCGCGUGGGUGAAGAAGGCCUUCGGGUUGUAAAGCCCUUUUGUUGGGAAAGAAAAGCAGCAGGUUAAUACCCCGCUGUUCUGACGGUACCCAAAGAAUAAGCACCGGCUAACUUCGUG